rfam:Populus trichocarpa scaffold_22_contig_6, whole genome shotgun sequence.
UCUAGAACUCGAGAUAUAGGCUGAACACCGAACAAUGUCUGGACUGCAGGACAGAUUCAGACUUCUCUUUUGUUGCUAAGAUGUGAACUUGAAAACAGAACCUUUGAUUCUUGGACUCCUCAUGAAAGUUUUAGGCCUAUGUCUUAGCUUUCCAUC